rnacentral:misc_RNA from 1 species
UUGAAAUCCUUAGGAUGUUGCUGGCCUUUCGGGGCAUGUGCACUCCGCCUUUUCAAUUCACCUGUGAACUUAUUGUAGGCCGGACUCUCAAGUCUGUGUCUAUGUUUUUAUAUACCCCUUUAAAAAAGUUUAACAGAAUGUUAUAAUAGACCUUCAUGGUCGAAAUAAAUCAAUA